UACGUAGGGUGCAAGCGUUAAUCGGAAUUACUGGGCGUAAAGCGUGCGCAGGCGGUUUUGUAAGUCUGACGUGAAAUCCCCGGGCUCAACCUGGGAAUUGCGUUGGAGACUGCAAGGCUAGAAUCUGGCAGAGGGGGGGUAGAAUUCCACGUGUAGCAGUGAAAUGCGUAGAGAUGUGGAGGAACACCGAUGGCGAAGGCAGCCCCCUGGGUCAAGAUUGACGCUCAUGCACGAAAAGCGUGGGGAGCAAACAGG
rnacentral:rRNA from 1 species